rnacentral:rRNA from 1 species
CCUACGGGCGGCAGCAGUGGGGAAUAUUGCACAAUGGGGGAAACCCUGAUGCAGCGACGCCGCGUGAGCGAUGAAGUAUUUCGGUAUGUAAAGCUCUAUCAGCAGGGAAGAAAAUGACGGUACCUGACUAAGAAGCCCCGGCUAACUACGUGCCAGCAGCCGCGGUAAUACGUAGGGGGCAAGCGUUAUCCGGAUUUACUGGGUGUAAAGGGAGCGUAGACGGCGAAGCAAGCCAGAAGUGAAAGCCCGGGGCCCAACCCCGGGACUGCAUUUGGAACUGUAUGGCUGGAGUGUCGGAGAGGCAAGCGGAAUUCCUAGUGUAGCGGUGAAAUGCGUAGAUAUUAGGAGGAACACCAGUGGCGAAGGCGGCCUGCUGGACAGUAACUGACGUUGAGGCUCGAAAGCGUGGGGAGCAAACAGGAUUAGAUACCCGUGUAGUC